rnacentral:rRNA from 1 species
CCUACGGGUGGCAGCAGUGGUGAAUAUUGGACAAUGGGGGCAACCCUGAUCCAGCCAUGCCGCGUGUGUGAAGAAGGCCCUCGGGUUGUAAAGCACUUUCAGUGAGGAAGAACGCCUGGUGGUUAAUACCCAUCAGGAAAGACAUCACUCACAGAAGAAGCACCGGCUAACUCCGUGCCAGCAGCCGCGGUAAUACGGAGGGUGCGAGCGUUAAUCGGAAUUACUGGGCGUAAAGCGCGCGUAGGUGGCUUGAUAAGCCGGUUGUGAAAGCCCCGGGCUCAACCUGGGAACGGCAUCCGGAACUGUCAAGCUAGAGUGCAGGAGAGGAAGGUAGAAUUCCCGGUGUAGCGGUGAAAUGCGUAGAGAUCGGGAGGAAUACCAGUGGCGAAGGCGGCCUUCUGGACUGACACUGACACUGAGGUGCGAAAGCGUGGGUAGCAAACAGGAUUAGAUACCCCAGUAGUC